rnacentral:rRNA from 5 species
AGACCCGAAACCCGGUGAUCUAGCCAUGGGCAGGUUGAAGGUUGGGUAACACUAACUGGAGGACCGAACCGACUAAUGUUGAAAAAUUAGCGGAUGACCUGUGGCUGGGGGUGAAAGGCCAAUCAAACCGGGAGAUAGCUGGUUCUCCCCGAAAGCUAUUUAGGUAGCGCCUCGUGAAUUCAUCUCCGGGGGUAGAGCACUGUUUCGGCUAGGGGGCCAUCCCGGCUUACCAACCCGAUGCAAACUGCGAAUACCGGAGAAUGUUAUCACGGGAGACACACGGCGGGUGCUAACGUCCGUCGUGAAGAGGGAAACAACCCAGACCGCCAGCUAAGGUCCCAAAGUCAUGGUUAAGUGGGAAACGAUGUGGGAAGGCCCAGACAGCCAGGAUGUUGGCUUAGAAGCAGCCAUCAUUUAAAGAAAGCGUAAUAGCUCACUGGUCGAGUCGGCCUGCGCGGAAGAUGUAACGGGGCUAAACCAUGCACCGAAGCUGCGGCAGCGACACUGUGUGUUGUUGGGUAGGGGAGCGUUCUGUAAGCCUGCGAAGGUGGCCUGUGAGGG